rnacentral:rRNA from 1 species
UACGGAGGGUGCAAGCGUUAUCCGGAAUCACUGGGCUUAAAGGGUGCGUAGGCGGGCGAUCAAGUCAGGGGUGAAAUCCUCCAGCUCAACUGGAGAACUGCCUUUGAUACUGGUCAUCUCGAGUAAGGUAGGGGCGUGCGGAACUGAUGGUGGAGCGGUGAAAUGUGUUGAUAUCAUCAGGAACUCCGGUGGCGAAAGCGGCGCGCUGGACCUUAACUGACGCUGAUGCACGAAAGCUAGGGGAGCGAACGGG